UACGGGGGGGGCAAGCGUUGUUCGGAAUUACUGGGCGUAAAGGGCGCGUAGGCGGCCAUCUAAGUCAGACGUGAAAUCCCCCGGCUUAACCUGGGAACUGCGUCUGAUACUGGACGGCUUGAGUAUGGGAGAGGGAUGUAGAAUUCCAGGUGUAGCGGUGAAAUGCGCAGAUAUCUGGAGGAACACCAGUGGCGAAGGCGACUACCUGGCCUGUUUCUUGACGCUGAGGCGCGAAAGCUAGGGGAGCAAACGGG
rnacentral:rRNA from 1 species